GAUGAACGCUGGCGGCGUGCCUAAUACAUGCAAGUCGAGCGAACAGACGAGGAGCUUGCUCCUCUGACGUUAGCGGCGGACGGGUGAGUAACACGUGGAUAACCUACCUAUAAGACUGGGAUAACUUCGGGAAACCGGAGCUAAUACCGGAUAAUAUAUUGAACCGCAUGGUUCAAUAGUGAAAGACGGUUUUGCUGUCACUUAUAGAUGGAUCCGCGCCGCAUUAGCUAGUUGGUAAGGUAACGGCUUACCAAGGCAACGAUGCGUAGCCGACCUGAGAGGGUGAUCGGCCACAUUGGAACGGAGACACGGUCCAGACGCCUACGGGAGGCAGCAGUAGGGAAUCUUCCGCAAUGGGCGAAAGCCUGACGGAGCAACGCCGCGUGAGUGAUGAAGGUCUUCGGAUCGUAAAACUCUGUUAUUAGGGAAGAACAAAUGUGUAAGUAACUAUGCACGUAUUGACGGUACCUAAUCAGAAAGCCACGGCUAACUACGUG
rnacentral:rRNA from 1 species